rnacentral:rRNA from 1 species
CCCGUAACGAGCGCAACCCUUGUCCUUAGUUACCAGCACGUUAUGGUGGGCACUCUAAGGAGACUGCCGGUGACAAACCGGAGGAAGGUGGGGAUGACGUCAAGUCAUCAUGGCCCUUACGGCCUGGGCUACACACGUGCUACAAUGGUCGGUACAGAGGGUUGCCAAGCCGCGAGGUGGAGCUAAUCUCACAAAACCGAUCGUAGUCCGGAUCGCAGUCUGCAACUCGACUGCGUGAAGUCGGAAUCGCUAGUAAUCGCAAAUCAGAAUGUUGCGGUGAAUACGUU